rnacentral:rRNA from 1 species
UGAGACAGUUCGGUCCCUAUCUGCCGUGGGCGUUGGAAAUUUGAAGGGGGCUGCUCCUAGUACGAGAGGACCGGAGUGGACGAACCUCUGGUGUUCGGGUUGUGACGCCAGUCGCAUUGCCCGGUAGCUAUGUUCGGACAGGAUAACCGCUGAAAGCAUCUAAGUGGGAAGCCAACUUCAAGAUGAGUACUCUCUUUAUAAGACCACAGCAAGACUAGCUGUUUGAUAGGUAUCAAGUGUAAGCCGUGUAAGCGGUGUAGCUGAGAUAUACUAACAGGUCGAACGAGUU